rnacentral:misc_RNA from 1 species
UUGUGGAGGAGGACGCCGAAGGUGGGGCUAAUGACUGGGGUGAAGUCGUAACAAGGUAGCCGUACCGGAAGGUGCGGCUGGAUCACCUCCUAACAGGGAGACAACAAAAUGUUUAAUAUUAUUUUGUCACCUUAGGUCGAUCGGUAUCUCACGUUUUUAAUUUAUUAAGAAUUUCAUUUCCUAAGUUUUUUCUAGGUCACACCCAUUAUUUUUCCUGGGCCAUUAGCUCAGGUGGUUAGAGCGCACCCCUGAUAAGGGUGAGGUCCCUGGUUCAAGUCCAGGAUGGCCCAUAUCUCUAUGUUGGGGGUAUAGCUCAGUUGGUAGAGCGCCUGCUUUGCAAGCAGGAUGUCAGCGGUUCGAGUCCGCUUACCUCCACUGAUUACCACCUCUUCCAUAAUUUAUGAGAAGGAAAUGUUUUGAGUAGUGAUCAAAUUCUGAACGAAGCUAGCUUCCUAAUGAAAUCAUUAAGAUGCUGGACUCAUUGAAUUUUUUUUCAUUGUUUUCAGAGAACCUUGACAACUGCAUAGAUUAUUUUUGAAGACAAUAAGCAUCUUUAAUGAUGCAGAUUUAUUAUUUGUGCGAAUGCAUUAAAUAGCAAUUCUAUUAAGCUGAUGCUUCAAUUAUGAAGUUAUUGGUCAAGCUACAA